UUCCAUUUCGAGCAACUUGACAGCAAAGGAGGGAGGAGGGGGGAAAAAAGUGACGUUGCAGGAUAAACAAACGGAGGAGAGGCAGCUCGGACUGAGUCAGUCGAGGCUGCCUGUGUCCUGUAACAUUUUGUAUUAAUUAUUUGGCAUAAUGCAGUCUUCCAAGCGGAGCGAGAGUGACUGGCAGGGGCUCGUCAGCGAGUUCCUGGUGUGUAAGCGCAAGCUGGAGAGUAAGAAAGAGGCUCUGCUCAUUCUGUCCAAAGAGCUGGAUACCUGUCAGCAGGAGAGAGACCAGUACAAGCUGAUGGCCAACCAGCUGAGGGAACGCCACCAGGGACUCAAGAAAAAGUACAGGGAACUCAUUGAUGGUGACCCGUCUUUGCCGCCGGAAAGACGCAAUCAAGUGAACCUGGCUCAACUGUUGAGAGACUCGAGAGAACGUGUGAAACAGCUCACAGAGGAGGUGAAGGAGCUGACUCAGAGGCUCACGGAGGCCCAGGGGGAUAACAAGCUCCUGAGGAUGACCAUAACUCGACAGAGGCUGGGGGAUGAGGAGGUGGGGGCACGACAUUUCCCCGCCCAUGAACGGGAAGAUCUAGUUCACCAGCUGGAAAGAGCCGGGCUACAGAUGGAGGAGAUGGAGAACAACAUUAAAGCUCUGACAGACGAGCUGCAGGACGUGAAGGGGGAGCGGAGUGCGUUCAGGGAGAAGGCCUACCGACUCAACGUGGAGCUCAACCACGUCUUGGGCAACCGGGAGGCGCGCAUCAUUGAUGUCGAUGCCCUCUGCAUGGAGAAUAGGUAUUUGCAUGACCGUUUCGGCCAACUACAAGAGGAGGUGAACCUGCUGAAAUCUAACAUCAUGAAGUACAAGACAGCUCUCGAGAGGAGGAAAAACUCCAGCACAUAUGGGAAAUCAAACAGCAGUCCCCUCACUGGAGUCCUCUCAGCCAAGCAAGUCCAGGAGAUGCUCCUGGAAGAGCAGGGCUGCAGCCUGCCAGCCACGCCUCAGUCCAUCUCCGACCUCAAGUCCCUGGCUACGGCUCUGCUGGAGACCAUCCACGAGAAGAACCUGGUCAUCCAGCACCAGAGGCACACCAACAGGAUUCUGGGAAACAGAGUUGCAGAUUUGGAAAGGAAGCUAAAGACGUUGGAGGUUUCAGGACUGUGGAGUCUUCCAGGCUUGACCUACCGCGUAUCCGUGGGAAUUGGGAGUAUGUAUUCCUUCUGCCCCACUUAGCCCAUCCAUGCCCUCCGCUAUGUCAUGCCAGGACAAAUCUGGGCAGACGCCCAGAAAGCGUGUCACCUCAUGCCCACCGUUUACAAUGUGUCGACUCCAUUGACCACCCGCUCAUGUAUCUGUUUGUGACACCAUUGACUGAAACGAGCUGCCUAGAUAUCACACACGCCUGAUCCUUUUGGUCUGGUGGAUCGGUCUUGAAUUUUACACUCAAUGGGCGUUGGGUUUGUUUUAAGGGCAGAAGAGGCCUUUUUAAGGCAACACACUCCUGUUUUCUUCAUUUUAAAAUGCGUUCAGAUUCUCACCGGUAGAAUUUGAACUGUAAGUCAUUUUCUGUUUCCCCCUCUUUUAAACAAACCUCAGCCUCAGAGCAGCAAAAAUAUAAAAACUGAACAAGAUGGCAAAAAUAAUCCCUACUGUGUCUAAAAUAGUAUCCCAGACUACAUUUUGCAGAUUUUCCAAAUGCGACCAGGAAACAAUAGUCCACCUAGAAAACAGUUCCCAGCAUUAGCCACUGGAGGGAGAUGUUGUGCCGCAUAUGAACAAGACUGCGAGGUGGAGGGGCUGCGGCUGAAUGGAGGUGCCCUGUCAUGAGACCGUCAUUCUCACCGCUAUAAAACUGACAAGCAUCCAUUACUGAAAAUGAUUGCCCACAUUACAAACACAUUUAGGGGAAUGUGCCGUUAUUAGGGAAUUUGUAGGCGAGGGCCCAGAGUGCCUGACGACCACGCUGUCCACCACAGUUAGGGAGACAGAAAUAUAUAGAGAGAUGUGAGCGUCUGUGGCCUUGAUGUUAUGUGAAGUUGGGCUGAUGGAUAUUAAAGGCAAACAGGAUAGGAUGGAGGGCCUUGGCUGCCUAUCUGAGGCCCGGAGAACACUAGAGGUGACUACGUUGUCUCCGGAUGAAAGAAAGCCGAAAACAAUAACAAUGACGUUGAUGCAGUGAGUCAGAUAAAGAUGUGAUUGAUAGAUCCCCACCAGUCUUGCAGUCCACCCUACCUCCCCCCUUGCUGAAUGAGUGCAAGCUGAAAUGUAACACAGCAAGUGAAAGCCUGUCAGUGUGCAUCAGCUAUUGAAAAGACAGAGGCGGAUACAGAAUGCACCCAUAUAGUUCUGUUUUGGUCCAGUGACAGACACUUUCCAGUUGAGAGGAAGGCAUUUCCUUGUCACCCUAGAGCUAGACAGCACCGCAUCCCAGUGUAGGGUUUAACCGUGUGAUUGUCUGACAGACAGGUCUCCUUAUUUGUGAUAGAGAGUAUAUGAUCCAGUAUGUUGGAGGAUCAUAUAACAGAGAAGGACUUGCUAUCUGUGCAGGAUGGAUGCAUAUGCAAAUACAGGAUGUUGUAUGUGCGUGUGUGUGUGAGGGGGCGAGAGACGGCUGGAUAGGCAGCUGCCAGUAAGGUUUAAAGGAAGUCGCUGGUGCCUCCUGCCUCCUCCCGAGUGCUGCCUGGCUCUUGGAGACACGCUGCUGUGCUCAACACCACCUUAUUAUUGGCUUUAAAAGGCAGUCUGCAGAACUCCUCCAAGGCUCCUCUUUAAAAACUUGAAGACUGCUCUUGGAUGAAGUCGCAGUGGAAUCCUAAAGCUGCAGGCCGGCUAUCUGAGCUUAAUCAGGAAGAUAUUUUUCCUCCAAAGAACUGCUGACUCUUUUGUCUUUUGACAGCUGUAUGAUACUACAACUUUAAGAAUCUGUUGUAUUUUUUUAUUAGUCCAGAUAGGAGAAAUGAUUCUAUAUCAUACUGUAUAUGGAGAAUUUCUCUGUACAGCUGAGAUGAUUGAUAUCUCUGGUUCUACUGGGGUCGUUGCGGGCAGUGUUGCAAGUCAAUGAGCACAACCACUUCAUCAAUAUUUAAUUCACAAGAUAUUUUAUUAAUGUCAUGUAACAUUGAUUUUUUUUGGAUUAGCCAAAAACAACAAUUGCUCUCUUGUCAUUUUACCUAUAACCAGUUUUCACUUGGAAUUUUCUGAAAAUUCACCUUUUUGUGAUUUAUUAACAGCAUAAAUUUAGAUAUACCAUGAGCUAUUAUAGCAUUACUCACACAUAAGUUAUAGUAGGUACAUUUUAAAUGAGUUACUUCAUGUCAUCACUCAAAAUUAAAUGGUAAGUUUAGGAGAAACAAAACUAAGAGUACUUGUUGAUUAGAACUAAUCACAAAGUACAGCCAAGGCUUACGUACUGAACAAAUUAAAACUUUGGAUCACCAGAGUUAUUAUAAUUCAUCUUGAGGGGGCAUGAUUGUUUGUACCAACUUUAUGACCGACUUUCCAAUCAAAACUACAAAUGUCAACCUCAUUUUGGUGCUAAAGGAAAGGGAUUCAUCAUAUAGGGACCAUGAAUGUCACAACCAGACCAACAUUGCAAACCCUAGAGCCAGUUUUUAAACAGUAGCAAGGUUUGAUGCUAAAACAAUCGGUAUGACUGAACUCACUGCCGCUGUAAAGGAAGUAAAGGAGCUUUUUAGAUAACCAGCAACUUUCUUCCCUUCACACCUCCAGUUUGCAUGUAGAGGAUCCAAACAGCUCACCCAACCUUCUCUCGCUCGCUGUUCCCACAUCAGCGUCAACGCUGAGCAUCCAUAACAAUAUGGACUGCAUCCAUAACAAUAUGGUCUCCGUUCACCAUUCAUGAUUCUCACGCAUCGUGUCACCCAGCCAUCCAUUUUCUCAUUCUUCUGUUUGUUUCUGCGCCUCACACUUGAACGGUCAGAGAAAACGGGGCCUAUUCACAGGGUUUUUUUCUGUGAAGCCAGAGGCUGAUGUGCACAUUUACAGGCUUGAGUGUAUGCAUGCGUCUAUGUGAAUACAGUUUUGUGUGUGUAUUUGCGAUGUCUCGUUUAUAGUGCAUAUGGUGUCAGCCUAAGAGGCGUGCAGCCAUCACUAAUGAAGACAGAUGACAGCGAACUGAAGCCACUUCUUGGGCACGAGACAAUAACGCGCUAAAUGAAAACCUCCAACCGGAGCUUCGUCCAACACGUGCCAUAUCUCAACCAAACAGAGCGC